CCGCGGCCUCCUUGGCGGCGCCGGCCGCGAGCGAGGCCGCGGAGCCGACAGCCGCAGCGCGGCGGCGGAGGCCAGGGCGGGCGCUGCGGGCGGCGAGCGCGGCGGAGAGCAGGGCGAUGAGGAGGCAGGCCACGGCGUGCUGCAGCUUGUCGGGGGCCACCCAGUCGUCGUCCCACUCCAUCCGCCACCACGGAAUCGGUUCAGUAUGUCUGUCUGUUUCCGACCGCGACCUCGACUGUCAGUCCGUCAGUCUCUCCCCGUCUCCCGCAGCUCCACAGUUCAGUCGCUGGGUCAGGUACUCAGGUUAGGUUGGGUUGGGUUGGGUUGGCGGCAGGACGGAGGGGACUGUGUUGUAAUCUUUGUGUGGAUCUGCGAGGAAGGAAAGUCGGCUCAAGAGGCACCGCACGAGAU
rnacentral:misc_RNA from 1 species